UCAACUUGAGAGUUUGAUCCUGGCUCAGAACGAACGCUGGCGGCAGGCCUAACACAUGCAAGUCGAGCGCACCUUCGGGUGAGCGGCGGACGGGUGAGUAACGCGUGGGAACGUGCCCUUCUCUGCGGAAUAGCCACUGGAAACGGUGAGUAAUACCGCAUACGCCCUUCGGGGGAAAGAUUUAUCGGAGAAGGAUCGGCCCGCGUUAGAUUAGGUAGUUGGUGGGGUAAUGGCCUACCAAGCCUACGAUCUAUAG
rnacentral:rRNA from 1 species